UGGUAUGGAUAUAAAUAGACGUAAAAAGUAAGCCAACUGUAUUAGUGAAACGCAUUAUUGAAUUGAAGUAAAAAGGUCAAUAAAAAAUAAAACACUUUAAUUAUACAACGCAUUAAAGAAAAGAAUAAGACUAAUUAUUCAACCAGUAUUAAAAAUACUUUUAAUUUUGUGAUCAUAGACUAGUUUUACGAUUUUUUACCUUAAUAAAUAGUUAAGUAGUUCAAUAUGUGCGACGAUAAAGUUUUUGCGUCCUUUACAUGUCAACGAUGUUCCCAGCCGUUGAAGCUCGAGGACUCUCUAAAUUCAUUCAGUGAACAUAUUUCGGCAGAGCUUAACCUACCUAUACAUUCUCAACCAGACGUAGAAUUGGAGUCUCAAGCAACAAGUUUUGAUCACUAUGUACCACCUUGCACGCUAUCAGAUUCUGGAAAUGGAGCUAAUGGUUUUAUGUUUAUCUCGGAUGAAAAUGAGGUGGAUUUACUAAGUCAUCAAUUUAAGUUUCAGGUGAAGUCUGAAAAGUUGUAGCUCAGUCUCAAUAAUUUCGUACCGGGUCCGCCUGAUCUGGUCUUGGAGUAGGGCCUUGCUAGCUUUGUCCAGGAUAGCUUGUGUCUUUCUGGAACCCUACGCCCGAUCCCACAGACCCACUACUCAACGUGACAUGGACUCAAGUUUCGCCGUCAAAUAUUCAAUAUUUAGACUUGGAUAAUGAGCUCGCAAUGAAACCAAACAGAAAAGAAAAGGAAAUGACCAUGUGGAAUAACGUUUAUUAUGCUUAGGGCCAGCAGCCCUUUAUGGGUUUUUGAAAAAGUUUAUCUCUUGGUCUAUUCAUUGAUUUAUUUUUUAAAAGCACAAAUAAAAUUUUAUU